UACGGGGGGGGCAAGCGUUGUUCGGAAUUACUGGGCGUAAAGGGCGCGUAGGUGGCCAACUAAGUCAGACGUGAAAUCCCUCGGCUUAACCGGGGAACUGCGUCUGAUACUGGAUGGCUUGAGUUUGGGAGAGGGACGCGGAAUUCCAGGUGUAGCGGUGAAAUGCGUAGAUAUCUGGAGGAACACCGGUGGCGAAGGCGGCAUCCUGGACCAACACUGACGCUGAGUGAGCGAAAGCCAGGGGAGCAAACGGG
rnacentral:rRNA from 1 species